GAUGAACGCUAGCUACAGGCUUAACACAUGCAAGUCGAGGGGUAACGAGAGGAAAGCUUGCUUUCCUUGUCGACGACCGGCGCACGGGUGAGUAACGCGUAUCCAACCUGCCCCCAACUAGGGAAUAACCUUGCGAAAGUAAGACUAAUACCCUAUAAUUUCCUCAGAUGUCAUCUUACGAGGAAUAAAGAUUUAUCGGUUGUGGAUGGGGAUGCGUCUGAUUAGCUUGUUGGCGGGGUAACGGCCCACCAAGGCAACGAUCAGUAGGGGUUUGGAGGGGAAGGUCCCCCCCAUUGGAACUGAGACACGGUCCAAACACCUACGGGAGGCAGCAGUGAGGAAUAUUGGUCAAUGGGCGGAAGCCUGAACCAGCCAAGUAGCGUGCAGGAUGACGGCCCUAUGGGUUGUAAACUGCUUUUAUACAGGAAUAAAGUUAGCCACGUGUGGUUAUUUGUAGGUACUGUAUGAAUAAGGACCGGCUAAUUCCGUGCCAGCAGCCGCAGUAA
rnacentral:rRNA from 1 species